AUGCCACAGUGCCAGCCCCACUUAAUGCAUUUUUUUUUUUUUUUGACAGAGUGGACAGUGAGAGAGACAGAGAGAAAGGUCUUCCUUUUGCCGUUGGUUCACCCCCCAGUGGCUGCCACGGCUGGCGCGCUACGGCCAGCAGACUGCGCUGAUCCGAAGCCAGGGGCCAGGUGCUUUUCCUGGUCUCCCAUGCGGGUACAGGGCCCAAGCACUUGGGCCAUAGCAGAGAGCUGGCCUGGAAGAGGGGCAACCGGGACAGAAUCCGGCGCCCCAACCGGGGCUAGAACCCAGUGUGCCGGCGCCGCAAGGCAGAGGAUUAACCUAUUGAGCCACGGCACCAGCCUUAAUGCAUUUCAUAAAUACAACUUUAGGAAUAUCCCACCCUUCUUCCUCCUCCCUCUCCUAUUCCCAGUCUUGCUUUUUUUUUUUUUUUUAAAGAUUUAUUUAUUUGAAAGAGUUACACAGAGUGAGAAGGAGAGACAGAGAGAGAGAGAGAGAGGUCUUCCAUCCUCUGAUUCACUCCCAGUUGGCUUCAACAGCCGGAACUGCAUUGAUCUGGAGCCAGGAGUUUUUUUUUGGGUCAUUUUACGCAGCUGUGGGGUGCUUUCCCAAGCUGAAUUGGAAGUGGAGCAGCCAGGAGCCAGCGGCCAUAUGAGAUGCUGGCACUGUAGGUGGCAGCUUUACCCUCUGUGCCUCAGCACCAGUCUUCCUUUUCACCAAGAUCUAUUUUCAGUUAACUUUAUACACGUAAGUUCAACAAAUGAUAUGGGAAAAAAAAAAAAAAAAAAAAACAACUUGUUCCCCAACAGUCAAGAGAAGGACUGUUCAAAGUCAUUGCAUCGGCCGGCGCCGCGGCUCACUAGGCUAAUCCUCCGCCUAGCGGCGCCGGCACACCGGGUUCUAGUCCCGGUCGGGGCGCCGGAUUCUGUCCCGGUUGCCCCUCUUCCAGGCCAGCCCUCUGCUGUGGCCAGGGAGUGCAGUGGAGGAUGGCCCAGGUGCUUGGGCCCUGCACCCCAUGGGAGACCAGGAAAAGCACCUGGCUCCUGGCUCCUGCCAUCGGAUCAGCGCGGUGCGCCGGCCGCAGCGCGCCGGCCGCGGCGGCCAUUGGAGGGUGAACCAACGGCAAAGGAAGACCUUUCUCUCUGUCUCUCUCUCUCACUGUCCACUCUGCCUGUCAAAAAAAAAAUAAAUAAAUAA
rnacentral:lncRNA from 1 species